AUUGAACGCUGGCGGCGUGCCUAAUACAUGCAAGUCGAACGGAGUGGCGCACGGGUGAGUAAUAUAUAGCUAAUCUGCCCCUUGCUGGAGAAAAAAAGUUAGAAAUGACUGCUAACACUCCAUAGCAAGGGAUGAGACUAUAUCGUAUCAGCUAGUCGGUGGGGUAACGGCCUACCGAGGCUAUGACGUGUAACUGGGCGGAGAGGAUGAUCAGGCAAAUUGGAACUGUGGCACGGUCGAAACUCCUACGGGAGGCAGCAGUAGGGAAUACUGCGCAAUGGGGGGAACCCUGACGCAGCAACGGCGCGUGGAGGAUGACACUUUUCGGAGCGUAAAGUCCUUUUGUUAGGGAAGCGGUACCUAACGAAUAAGCACCGGCUAACUCCGUGCCAGCAGCCGCGGUAAUAC
rnacentral:rRNA from 1 species